UGCGUAGGCGGAUUGGCAAGUCAGAAGUGAAAUCCAUGGGCUUAACCCAUGAACUGCUUUUGAAACUGUUAGUCUUGAGUGAAGUAGAGGUAGGCGGAAUUCCCGGUGUAGCGGUGAAAUGCGUAGAGACCGGGGGGAACGACCAGUGGCGAAGGCGGCCUACUGGGCUUUAACUGACGCUGAGGCACGAAAGUGUGGGUAGCAAAACA
rnacentral:rRNA from 1 species